GACGAACGCUGGCGGCGUGCUUAACACAUGCAAGUCGAACGGCAAGGCCCUGCUUUUGUGGGGUGCUCGAGUGGCGAACGGGUGAGUAACACGUGAGUAACCUGCCCUUGACUUUGGGAUAACUUCAGGAAACUGGGGCUAAUACCGGAUAGGAGCUCCUGCUGCAUUGUGGGGGUUGGAAAGUUUCGGCGGUUGGGGAUGGACUCGCGGCUUAUCGGCUUGUUGGUGGGGUAGUGGCUUACCAAGGCUUUGACGGGUAGCCGGCCUGAGAGGGUGACCGGCCACAUUGGGACUGAGAUACGGCCCAGACUCCUACGGGAGGCAGCAGUGGGGAAUAUUGCACAAUGGGCGGAAGCCUGAUGCAGCAACGCCGCGUGCGGGAUGACGGCCUUCGGGUUGUAAACCGCUUUCGCCUGUGACGAAGCGUGAGUGACGGUAAUGGGUAAAGAAGCACCGGCUAACUACGUG
rnacentral:rRNA from 1 species